CCGGUCGACCCCCACCGCACCAAACUCUGUCACGAAUCCCUCAAAAAAACUCUCUCUCGCGCGUGAACCUCACCCCACCCCUCGGUCGAUCUCCUCUCCCCACGAUCUCCUCUCCCCCACGAUCUCCUCGCCGCCGCCGCCACCCACGCCGGCCGGUUCCGGCGAGCUCCGGCCGCGCGCCACACGCCCCCAAGAUCCUCAAGCUCCGCCCCUCCAUCCCCUAAAUCCAGAUCCGUGCCUAAGGCCUGCGCCUUUGCCCGCGGCUAGGGUUUCGGGCGCCUCCCGUGUUCUUGCCGGAAUCCACCACAAUCGGCGAUGGCGAGGCCGGAGCUUGCGGGAUCCGUCACCGGCGGCGGGAGGGGGAGCCCUCGGGCGCUGCGUCCUCCACCCCGGCGUCUAGCGACAGGAGGAUCCUGCGCAGGCAGACCGCGAGCAACCUGGGCGAGUCCAUCUUCGACAGCGAGGUGGUCCCCUCCUCACUCAUCGAGAUCGCCCCAUCCUCCUCGUAGUCAACGAGGUCGAGGCCAGCAACCCGCGCGUCCCAUACCUAUGAUUUGCUCACCAGCCUGAAAAUGCUGGCCGUGAAGCGGGCGGAGACCGCCGGACGUCCCCACCUUGCUGAUCCAUUUGAUUUGCGCACGCUGCAUGCUAUCGGUAUUGCUUGCUGCAUCCUCCGUUUCCUCCAUCGAUGGACACUGGCACGGAGUAUGCAGUAGAAUGCUUAAAGUUAGUCGAUUGUUGACCUGCUGCUGGUUACUUGCUCGAUGCAAUGUGCUCAUCUCUUUGUUGUUUGGUAGUAAAACAAUCGUCAGUACUUUGAAUUUGUGUGCGUUGAAUUUAGAGCAAACUUCUGAAUUCAUAGUGUAGGCCUUUUGAAUUCAACUUUGCUGUUUCUUGCUCAUAGUAAAUCAUUGUUGUUGGGUAGUAAAUCUACCCGUACUUUCUUGUCAAUUCACGUGCCAUUGUAGACAUGUUAUAGGAGGUUCAGCUGUGCUUGCUUUUGUCAGUACUAUGAAUUUCUACGAUCGAUACUCUGAAGUCAUGCAAAAAAUGGACAGAUUUGAAGCAAACUUUUGAAUCCAUAGCAUAACCCUUUAUUUAUUUUUGCUGAAUUAGAACUGUAAACUCAGCAUGCAUAUAGAAAUUCUACAUCAUGUUCAACCAAAUGUGUUAGUUAUUGAGUCAGUGGGCUGACUUUAUACAAAAACCUGUUGCGAGUGCAUGGAAAAUGUGGCACUUGCCAUUCCGGAAUACUACCUGUUUUCUCCGUGAUUGAAGUGUCUCUGUUGAAUACUUCUAAACUGAACAGUUUCAUUCAGAAUUCUGACACUUCUUAGUGUAGCAUUGUAGCUUUAUUUUUACAUGAUCAAACUACCUUCUGUAUGCAGUAUGCAGCCACACUAUGUUGUAUAUCUUCAGUAGUAAAUGUAUCAUCUUAAUAGUGUACUAAAGCUAGAUUAUUUUGUAGCUCAUUUUUUAGGCUUUCUCCAUGGUUAAUAUAAAUUAUGCAAAGCAAUGUUUACUUUGAUUGUAACUCUAGUGCCAUUCUUAUUAUUCAAUGUACAUCGAUGGUGUUGCUGGACUUAUGCUAGUGAGAGGGGAGAAAGCUAAGAACCUUGGCCUUUAAGUUCUAGCAAGGAUCAGAUGGUAUGCUGAUGCUGCUCAGGGGUGAUUGACAUGGACUACUGCGGCCUGGUGGGCUUCGUGCUCUUCAACCACUCAGAGGCGGACUUCAUCAUGAAGCCCGGCGAUCGCGCCGCACAGAUGAUCGUCCAGGUCAUUGCGACACCCGAGGUCGCCGAGGUGGAGGACCUCGACGUCACCGUCCGGCGGGAGGGAGUGUUCGGAUCCAUCACGUUUGAACCCCGAGCCUUGGUAGAUACAUCUAGAGAAGUGAUCUAGUUGUUUGCAUCUGAUGUUAAAUGGGAUCUCGUGAUCUCGAGUUGAGAUGUUCAUUGAUGUAUCCAUGAAUGAUGCAGGUGCUAAGAUGGUUCUAUGAACUUAGUUUAUUUA